rnacentral:lncRNA from 1 species
AUGACAGAAAUAUUGUACCAAUAGUGUGGAAUUUUUUCUAUGUGCGUUGCACAAAGGCACAAACCACAAACCAUGUCCGUGACAGAGGAAACUUUGGGAGAGAAAGACAAAAUAAGAUGAUCAGGAAAUAUUGUUUGAGGACAAAUAUUGAAGUGUGAACAUCCACUGAAUACAGCCUUAUCUUCCCCCUCGUGAUUCUGAUUUUGAUUCCUCACAGUUUUACACCGACACUAAAUUAAUUAUUUUUGGUAUCAAUCAACACAAAAAUGAAUGUGAGAGCUGUGAUCCGGUAGAUAACAUGUUAUAUGUUUCUAUUCCGCUUUAUUCCGCUCGUUUUUAGAUCAUGUUUUUAGUAUACAACUAAGACAAAUUUUUUAUUAUGCAUAAAUUUAUUUUCACUAUUAGAAUUUAGAUCGUACUUAUGAUA